rnacentral:rRNA from 1 species
GAUGAACGCUGGCGGCGUGCCUAAUACAUGCAAGUCGAGCGAACAGAUGAGGAGCUUGCUCCUCUGACGUUAGCGGCGGACGGGUGAGUAACACGUGGAUCACCUACCUAUAAGACUUGGAUAACUUCGGGAAACCGGAGCUAAUACCGGAUAAUAUGUUGAACCGCAUGGAUCAAUAGUGAAAGACGGUUUUGCUGUCACUUAUAGAUGGACCCGCGCCGCUUUGGUUACUUGGUAAGGUAACGGCUUACCAAGGCAACGAUGCGUGGCCGACCGGAGGGGGUGUCCGGCACACUGGGACCGGGAACCCGUCCCAGACCCCACGGGGGGGCAGCAGGGGGGAUUUUGGCGAAUGGGGGGAAAGCUUGACGGAGCAACGCCGCUGGGGUGAGGAAGGUCUCCGGUUCGUAAAACUCUGUUAUUGGGGAAGAACAAAUGUGUUAGUAACCAUGCUGUUCUGGCCGUUACCUAAGCAGAAGGCCCCGCCUACUUCCUG